rnacentral:lncRNA from 1 species
CUCCUUCUUCGGGUCACACGUGAAGUCCGUCCUCGAAGCAAGCUUGAUUUGAAACGACGUGUAGUUCAGCGCGCAGAAGAAUCCCAAGUAGUCUUCCACGUUCGCAUCAUACACCAGACCAGGAUCGAGGGCAGCCACGGGAUCCACGUGUCCAGCGCCGUAAUCGAACGGCGUCGCAGGUUGUCCAGUUGCAACAUCUAGAAUUGCUGCGCCGUUUUUGUAACUCGUGUACGCUGUUGUCAUGAGUGCGGAUCGAAUAGCCGCAGGGCUCCAUUGAGGGUGCGCGCCUUUGAGAAUGGCGGCUAAGCCGCUGACGUGAGGGCAGGACAUGGAGGUUCCGGAAAUAAUGUUGAAGCUGACGUGGCGGUCGUCGGCGGUCAACCCGGUGGGUCCGACCGCGCCGGUCCAACCGGCUAGAAUGUUGACCCCUGGAGCUAUAAAAUCCGGUUUGAGAAUGUUGGGCGUGAGAGCGUUGGGUCCUCUGGAGCUGAAAGCCGCCACCACCGGAGAAGGUUUAACCUCCAAUUGGGUCCCUAAGAAAGCAAUCUUAGCGGUGGGAUUAGCCGAAGAAGAAGCGUAACUCUUGAGAAUCUGGCUUGAUUUUUGACCCAGCGAUGCAGCAGGAAGAAGAUGAGGGUCUGUAACUAACUCUUCCCCAAAAGCUUCAUUGUUGGCCAAAAUCAUUCCAGCACCACCCGCAAGCUUAACCACCAAACCCUUCUCCACUCUCGGAUUUCCCCCUCUCUCGCAUAUCACAAUCUUCCCUGAAACCUUCUCAGGAAUGAGAGAGUCUUGCAGGCAAAGAUACCCAACAGAAGAGUUACUCGCGUUGCCGGCGUAAACGAGAGGAAGCGGAGAAUCCAAAACCGGUUUACCGUUAUAAAGCGACGCUCCGGCGUAGGUUUUUCCAUUUCCGAGGGUUAUGAGAGCAGGGAAAUCGCGGUCUAAAGUUCCCGCUCCCACUGUGGUUACCCACGGCGACACGUUGGAUAACGUUGAUGAACUGGGCCCAGCGUUACCUGCUGACAUGGAAACCAAAAUCCCAUGUG